UACCGGCAGCACGAGUGAUGGCCGCUGUUAUUGGGCCUAAAGCGUCCGUAGCCGGCCAGACAAGUCCGUUGGGAAAUCCACGCGCUCAACGCGUGGGCGUCCAGCGGAAACUGUCUGGCUUGGGGCCGGAAGACCUGAGGGGUACGUCCGGGGUAGGAGUGAAAUCCCGUAAUCCUGGACGGACCACCGGUGGCGAAAGCGCCUCAGGAAGACGGACCCGACGGUGAGGGACGAAAGCUAGGGUCUCGAACCGG
rnacentral:rRNA from 1 species